UUUUAAUAUAUAUAUUUAUUGAGAUUUUUUGAUAUAAGAAAAAACAAACAAACAAAACAAACGAAAAAACAACAGACAACACAACAGCAAGGGCUAAAACACACAAAUAAGACAAAAGUUUACACUGCAACAACGAAAAUAUUGCUUCAACACUGGCAAUAAACAAAAAUAAAACGCUAAGGUGGAAGGCUAAGUUAUUGGUGAUCGAUCAAAUAGGACUUUGUUUUAAUACAUGAUCUAAAAAUGGUUGCCACACAUCAAAGAAAUUACUAAGUUUGUCUGCUAAUGUAUACCUAAUUCUCUCCAUAUGUAGUAGAGCAGUCAGUUCUGUGAGCCACAUUUUGAAUUGAGGUACAAUAUCCGUCUUCCAAAGAGUCAAAAUAAUUUUUUUAGCAAUUACCAUUCCGAACAAAACUGUGGUUUGUGCAGCAGAGCUAAGGUGUAAAAGGGAAGAGGAAGAUCCAAACAAUGCAAUUAUUGGGUCCGGCUCUAAUGUGCAAUUAUAGAUAUCAGAAAAACAGUUAAAAAUAUUCAACCAAUAGUUAUACAAUUUGGGACAAGUCCAAAACAAAUGAGUAAGAGAGCCUUCUCCAAGUUUACAACGAUCGCAUAUCGAACUGAUAGAAGGAAAAAUCCUGUGCAGUUUAGUUUUUGAAUAAUGAAGUCUGUGAAGCACUUUAAAUUGAAUUAACUGAUGCCUUGCAUUUAUAGAGCAAGAAUGGAUCAUACACAGACUCCUCUCCCACACCUCAUCUCCAAUCAGCAAACCAAGCUCUUCCUCCCAUGCCAUCUUCAAAAAGUCAGAUUUAGAAUUUAAAUACUCAGAAAAGGCUUUCACAAAACCAGAAACCAACUUUUUAGAAUCCGGGGAACUCAGAAGAAGUAAUUCCACUGUAAUUAUA